UAUUAGGGUUAUGAUGGAAUUAUAACUCUGCUACCCCAAAUUAACCUCUUGUAUCUGCACUUCGCUCCACCCUUAUCUGAUCGAUCAAAAUUAAGCCUUCAAUAUCAGGCUUGUAUUUUAAAAUUGUUUAUUUGAACGUGUUGGAGGAGGUAUGGAAUCGAUAAUGGCUAGGGCACUGGAAUACACUCUCAAAUACUGGUUCAAAUCCUUCACCAGAGAUCAGUUCAAGUUGCAAGGACGCACUGUUCAGCUCUCCAAUUUAGAUAUAAGUGGUGAUGUAUUGCACACAAGCCUUGGAUUGCCGCCAGCUUUGACUGUAAGCAUGGCGAAAUCUGGAAAGUUAGAGAUUGUGGUGUGUAAUUCAAAUCAUGCCGAUUGUUGUGCAAAUUGAUAAGCUUGCCUUGGUGUUAGAGGAGAAUGAUAAUGUGGAUUCGCAUAGGAGCACAAGCAGUGCACAAGCACCUUCUAGUUCAUCAAAAAGCAGUGGUUAUGGAUUUGCUGAGAAGCUGAUGGAAUGACAUUACAAAUACAAACUGUCAAUCUGUUACUUAAAACUCAUGGUGGUGGUAGACAUCUUCGAGGACUAACUUGGUAUUUGGCGCGCGCCUUUUGCGCUUUUGACAACUAUCUCGGACCUUGUGAACAGUACGUCAAUUAGCCAAAAUUUGGAGGUUUUUUUACGGUUAUGUCAUUAUGCGUUUUUGGUGCAGUAGAGAGAGGGGACCAGAGAAUAGGUUAUAGAGAGACAAAAGAAAAAUAGAGAGCGUGAACGGAAGGGGAUCCGGCCACCCAGUUUCGGUGACCAUCUCCGUCUUCUGCUCUCUGUUCUAGCUGUGAUGGGUCUGAUACCAAAGGUUAACGUUGACGAUGAACUCAACGGAAGAGACCAUGAUGUUAGCGACGUUUCGGUAGUGCCUAGGGUUCCAGGAGAACUCCGACGAGUCAGAUCUCCCGUUUUGGUGUUGCUUGGCAAACACUGAGGUGUACCGACCUUGUGUGGUUUAGGUCUUUAGCUGGUGGUUGGUGAUGUUGGGUUUUUGUUAGUCGGCGAGUAAAGCAGCUAGAGGUGGUUCCGACAAGUGGGAUUGUGACAAUUGAUGGGUUUUUGCAGCCGUAACAUUACCGGCAGUUGAGACGACUGUCGGUGGCAGAAACCCUACUCACCAUCUCCGGCGAUUAAGGAGUACUAGAGUUGUAACGUAUGUGCAGUUCGUUGAUGUCCGAUUUGCUGGUGAUGGUUAUGAUAAUGAUAUCAAACUUGCUGAGUGGGAUGUGAAGAGAGUAGGAAGUAACACAAUAAUGUGAAGACGAUGAUUUGAAAGAUGCUUUCUCUAUGUAGUUGAGGAGGGUGAAAGUCAAGGUGAAGCUAAAUACAUUGUGGAAAGUGAGGUCUAGUUCUCUGCAGGUGUAAAGCAAUGGGGUCUUUGCUCUCAUGUGACCAUCAAGACAAAAUUCAUAGCUUUUGAUUGAAAAGUUGAACUUAGUUAUCAAGAAGCUCGUUAAGGAAAAUGAUGAAGAAAAAGAAAGGCUAAAUGGAAUUAUUGUCGGGUGGUUAGCUGAAAAAGAAAAAGAUAAGGUGGAUAAAAAUGCUAUGCUCGAUACGAUGUCACAAAUUGAAGCUAUGUUAACAAGUACAAUUUGAAGAUAGGCUACAAACACUUAGUUUUGAAUGUUUCGAUGUUUAUCGUAUUAAGAUUUUUUAGUUAUUUGAUGUUUUAGCUGGUAUUUCUAUUAGAAUGUUUUAUAUGCUUUUGAUACACAUAUGUUUUAUAUAAUUUUGGGUUUCAGUGAUCU